GUGACGAGCGGCGGACGGGUGAGUAAUGUCUGGGAAACUGCCUGAUGGAGGGGGAUAACUACUGGAAACGGUAGCUAAUACCGCAUAACGUCGCAAGACCAAAGAGGGGGACCUUCGGGCCUCUUGCCAUCAGAUGUGCCCAGAUGGGAUUAGCUAGUAGGUGGGGUAAUGGCUCACCUAGGCGACGAUCCCUAGCUGGUCUGAGAGGAUGACCAGCCACACUGGAACUGAGACACGGUCCAGACUCCUACGGGAGGCAGCAGUGGGGAAUAUUGCACAAUGGGCGCAAGCCUGAUGCAGCCAUGCCGCGUGUGUGAAGAAGGCCUUCGGGUUGUAAAGCACUUUCAGCGAGGAGGAAGGUGGUGAGCUUAAUACGCUCAUCAAUUGACGUUACUCGCAGAAGAAGCACCGGCUAACUCCGUGCCAGCAGCCGCGGUAAUACGGAGGGUGCAAGCGUUAAUCGGAAUUACUGGGCGUAAAGCGCACGCAGGCGGUUUGUUAAGUCAGAUGUGAAAUCCCCGGGCUCAACCUGGGAACUGCAUUUGAAACUGGCAAGCUAGAGUCUCGUAGAGGGGGGUAGAAUUCCAGGUGUAGCGGUGAAAUGCGUAGAGAUCUGGAGGAAUACCGGUGGCGAAGGCGGCC
rnacentral:rRNA from 1 species